rnacentral:rRNA from 1 species
UUCCUGGCGACCAUAGCCGUUUGGAACCACCUGAUACCAUCCCGAACUCAGAAGUGAAACGAACGCGCGCCAAUGAUAGUGUGGGGCUUCCCC